CCCACAAGAGUAUAUGUGCAGAAAUGAAAAUCCAAUCAUCUACAUUCAAGCUAGGUACUUCGAUAUAUAUUCCCGAACAUAUAUCGCAGCACACUACCCAUUUGGGAUACACCCACAUAUACAUCAAAUAUGUAUACAUGGCUGCACCUACUACCCACAAUUAAGUACCUUCAUAUAUAUACAUGUGUAAAACAUGUAUUAGUAACCACAGCUAACACUCCCCUAGACCGACGGUUGGACGGUCAUGCUCUCACAGCUCACACUUACCGUAGCGUAGAGGCAUAUAGAUCCAUACAUUACCACUCAAGCAAGUGGCAUCCAUACAAUUUCACGCCGUAUGGACGACGAAAGAAAACAAUCAUUGCUUACCAUGGCGUAGAGGUAUAUGAUCCAUUCAUUACCACUUAAGUAAGUGGUAUCCAUAUAAUUGCACGCCAUAUGGACGACGAAAGGAAAAACCCCCAUGAAAGUAAUAUUAAGCCACCUAGAAGUCCUUAUAUGGGCAUAAAGGGUAGGACCACUGGCAUGGUAUAAGUUAUUGAAACAUUUUUAAAACAGCCCUAUGUAUAGUCUAAUUUGCCAAUUAGUUUGGCGAAAACAAAUUCAUUUGUUUUUAAAUACAUCUAUGAUGGUUAAAUGCUUAAUCUUGCUCUGAUGCCAGCUGUAACAAAACCGUCCAAAUUAUAAGAAUUCAAGUGAAUUAGCGACCACGGAGGCAGUCAAGCCAAUGGACUUGAACCCAUAUAAACCCGGUAGUCUGUAACACCCUAAAUUUUGUUCUUUUAGAAAUAGAUGAAAAAUAAUUUAAUUUUGAAUUUUUGUGCUCAUAAAACAUAGGGGAAUAAUAUUUUUCAGUAAAUUAAAACUUAUCAUAGGGUUUAGUAACAUGUAUGUGCACUCAUGCUGGAGCAUUUAUAUUUUUGUACUGUGUAACUUUGAGUAAAGUUCAAAAGUAUUUCAAAACUGAUUUUUAAAAGGGACUUGAAAUGGCUUUGGAAUAAAAGAAAGGAAAAUAGAAAAAAAAAACAACAAAACCUUUCUCCUCUUCCCCCACUCAUUCUGGCCCGAAGAGCCCAAACCCUCCUCUCCCCCUUCCUUCCUUCCCCCCCCCCCCCGCGGCCCACUCUCUUCCUUCCCCCUUUCUUCCCUUGGCUCGGCCCAGUGACGCGGCCC
rnacentral:lncRNA from 1 species